AACGAACGCUGGCGGCAUGCCUAACACAUGCAAGUCGAACGAGACCUUCGGGUCUAGUGGCGCACGGGUGCGUAACGCGUGGGAACCUGCCCUUAGGUUCGGAAUAACUCCCCGAAAGGGGUGCUAAUACCGGAUAAUGUCUUCGGACCAAAGAUUUAUCGCCUUUGGCUGGGCCCGCGUUGGAUUAGCUAGUUGGUAGGGUAAAAGCCUACCAAGGCGACGAUCCAUAGCUGGUCUGAGAGGAUGCUCAGCCACACUGGGACUGAGACACGGCCCAGACUCCUACGGGAGGCAGCAGUGGGGAAUAUUGGACAAUGGGCGAAAGCCUGAUCCAGCAAUGCCGGGUGAGUGAUGAAGGCCUUAGGGUUGUAAAGCUCUUUUAGCCGGGAUGAUAAUGACAGUACCGGGAGAAUAAGCUCCGGCUAACUCCGUG
rnacentral:rRNA from 1 species